CCACAAUGCUCCGCCAGCUCCCAGAUCUUUCUGAGCAGCCCCAGUGUCUGCGCUCUGGGGAACAAAGCGAAAGGUUGGAGCGUGCUUGUGGGUGCGUCUUUAUGUUUCUGCCUGUCUCACCACACCUCAGACGUUCCCAUGGAAGGGGAGGGUCCUGGAGAGAAAUCGGGCAGGUAACCUGAGCUUCUAGUGUAAACUUCGUCAAGACCAGAACACCAGCGCUGACCCAGGACCAGGGUUGGUGGUCAAGAUGCUUCCGAGCAGAUGUUCACCUGAGCGAUGGGGUUGGAAUCUGGUUCCCUGAAGACCUAAAGGAUGGAUAAUGGGAAAUCAAGUAGGGAGUCAGAAGCAUAGUGGAAAGGACCACUUUUAAAAAUGGUCCUCCCCACCCCCUCCCCAAAUCUAACUGGACCCUUCAGCCACACCCGCAGCACACCAGUGUACGAGACGGUCAUCGCCACCGGUGUUAAUGACGCUGAUGCUGCAGGAGCCGUGGAUGAAGGGCUCAUUGUGUGCUAGGGUCACUGCCGAGGGCCCUUACACACAGACUUCCUUAGUCCUCAGGAUAACUCCAUGAAAACCAUGUUGUCCCCGUUUUACAGACAAGAAAACUGACUCGUGAUUAAGCGAUUUGCCCAAAGCCCAGGAGGAGGAAAGGGACAGGGCUGCCGGGCAGAUCCCCACUGUCCUCCGCACAUCCUGGGCCUGGACGGCAGGACCGUGCCCCUCCCCCCCAGCUGGCCAGAGCCGGGAUCUGGUGGAAAGCCUGCCCAGCAAGGAGCUGGCCCAUUGCAGAGCCCAGGGGGACUCGUGGUGUGCUUGGCCCACAGUCUCCUUGCUGAAAGGACCCCCAGGGAGGUGGCCCGGGACCCUCAGAGAUGGUUCCAUUCCAGGCCCAUGGAUGGACGGGACCACUGCCGGGAGACCCGGCUCACCAAUGAACAGGCCCAAGAUCGCCUCAUGGUAACAAGACAGCUGCUGGAACACCACAUAGGUCUCACAUCCACUUUCUAGGUAGAAAGAAGGAGAACAGGGAGAAGGGACAGCCUUCCCAGAAGGCUCAAUUGAUUUCCACCGAUAUUUCACUGACCGUUUCUAACUGCAAGGGAAAUUAGGAAACACGAUCAUUUAUCCUGAUACAUCCUUGAUCUGAAUAAAAAUCAGAUCAGGAGGGAGGAAGGGGAGCACAGACAACGGGGAGACAACCUGAGACUCUGUUUGAAGAUGGAGUCUUCUUUUUGGAGAAGGAGAAGGAGAAGGAAAAGAAUUCACCAAGGCCACGCCUGUCUCACUCCUGAGCUGUGAGAGGCACCGCUUUGGGACAUCCUUUAUCGUGACGGGACGAUGUGGCCAAUACCGGGCACCGGUGCCUCGGCACAUAAUCAGUUCCUGCUCUGUUCAAACCCUCCUGCCCAGCGCUUGGUUGAUUGCCCUGACUUCUCCUUCGUUAUCUGCAGCUGUUUAAAGUGCCUGGAGGAACACUCGCCCUCUAUUUGGCAACGAAGCCUCCGGUGACAGACGGAGUCCGACAGGUAUGAGGACAGGAGCUGGGCUGCCAGGGAGGUAGGUGGACCGAGAGGUGGCCGCGGUCUUUGGUGAACAUUGAGAAUCACUGAGGCCACAUCACUGCCUCUGGCUGACGCAGACCCGCCCUUCCAGAAGAAUCACUUCUGCUAAACAGAACACGGGAGUUUCUCGCUCUUUAAAAAAGUCCACAAGAAUCGGAGCUCCUGUGGAAGACAAGUGCCAAAUCCCCACUCAUGUGUUCGUUCAGCUUCCAAACCCAACCAAACAGAAGGUGCCAGUUCUCCCAAGAUGGCAGCCCAGCCGCCCGCAGGUGCUCUCAGACAAGGGGGGCGCCCUGGACGCGGAAAGCUCUCUGGGUCUGGCAUACUUUCCAGUUCCCUUCACCCCAGGGUGGGGAACCCAGGUCUGCAGAGGGGAAGGCCUAGGGCUUCUCCUGCUCCUUCUUACUCUUGCACAACCAGCUGAAGGGGUGGGUCACCUCCUGAGGAAGCCACCAACGUCCAGCAGGCCUGCUGGUCUCGGCCAGUCCUUGAAGGUGGCGAGAGUCUCCAGGACACCGACAUCCAUCCCAGUCUCCGCAGGAAGACCCACUCAAAAGCGGAUGAAGGCCUCAUGUCGUCCACGCUGGGAACUUUUACAGACAUCUUCCAUUCUGCUUUCACUGCAAACUCCACGAGAGCCAGGAAGGUGUCCUGCUCUGUCUCUCCUCACUCCUUGCCCAGAAUCCAAGCAGAGCUCAAGGUGUCUGAGCUUAAUGAUCAUACGGGAAACACCAUCUCAUUUCUUUCUGGAACCAUGUGCAAUUUGGCUUCUUCCUUCCCUUUUGUUCCCAGGUUCUUGACAUGAUUUUCUCUUGGGCAGUUUUUGUGUUUUUUUUUGGUAUCCUUUUAGUGAUUUAGAUUAUAUAGAGAGUUAAUUGCGUGUCAUUGUAGAUGACGCUCCAUCAAACAGUAUUAUACAGGGUAAGCAUGUUCCCACAUGGUCUCGAAUAGACUAAACCGCUCUAACAAAGAGAACUCAAAUAUAGAGACUUCAUUAAAUAAAGUAGAAUGUAAUUCUCACCCACAUGACAGUCUAAAGGAGCCUGUGGCAGGGGGACAGUUCUGCUCCACAAGGUCACCCGGGCUGCAGGACUAGUUCUCGCUUCCUUAAAACAUGACGUCCCUAGCUUGGUCCCAGUGUCUCCUCUAGUUUUGAUCUCUCCCAAGCCAGGGAGAAAGGGAGAGGAAAUGGAGGACAAGUAACUUCCCCAUGGAUAUGCAAUCCACGAGGUGUCCAUUUCACUUCUGCUCACAUCCCUUGGGUCCAAAUGUGUGGCAUGACUCUAGUUAACCUGCAAAGGAGGUUGGGAAAUGUAGUUUCUGAACAACCAGAUGUCAGAAGUUGGUGCUUCCAAAUACCCAAUGUUAACCUUCAGGGUUUACAGACAAGAAGUCGAAGUCCCUGGCAAGACUCAGAAGUCCUGAAAUCCUAAGCUAUUCUUAGAAGACGUCAAUGGACUUCGUACCAUUGGCUUAUUACAAUGGAUAGCUAGCAACAUUGGUUUAAUAAAUGAGAAAUAUUCAGUGUAACAAAUUUACAGACAACUGUAGCCUGUAGCAAAUAAUUAAGCGUCAAAAAGAACGCUGGUGAAUAUUAUUGUGUAAUAUUCAAAUAAUGUAACAUUUAGAUCUUUUAGCAAAGUUCAAGUGCUACAGAUGGAAAUUGCCAACCAAGGGCUUAUUUUACUUCCCAAGUUUGUUAUUUCUGAGCACAUUGCUAACAAGAUUUGCGUAAAGCAUACCUACAUAUAAAUUUAAUCUUGAUUUAUUUCCAAGAGUGACUCUCCAUUUCCAGUGGUCAGGACCAUCGACAUGCACACUUACAACAGGACCAGAGCCAUGGUCCUAGCCAACCGUGAUCCCCUCUCUCCCAUGGGCUCCUGUCCUGUCCCCAUGACGUCAUCCUUCACCUUCAGCAUUUCCAGCUCUUACCUUUGGUUUGACGUUGGUGGAUUGAGCCCGUGUUGCCUCUAGGUUCAUGGUUAAGCUUUGAUUUUUGCAGGACAAAUACUUUUUCCAUUAGUUUCUUGACUAAUUUUUCUUUUAGCAUUUAGAAAAAUGUCAACAUUUCCCAACAAACACUGGAAAGGAAUUCCCACUUGGAGAAACCAGUCCAGGUAAAUAGGUGUGGGGAGUGGAGUGGAAAGCCCUAUCCUCAAAGGCAGGAGAGGAUGAGCACUGAGAGAUACCUCUCCUCUAUGAGCCAUUAGUGAGCUCAGUGCAAAAUGAAAUGUGGGGGUUCUUCAUUAAAAGUUAUUCAAAACAGCAAAGUGGUGCCCACGGAGCACUAAACCAAGUGUAGGGUCUUUUUAACUGUGGCGUCCUGUACAUGUACACAAGUCCCACACCUAUAAAGCUGACCCUGUCUGAUACAGCACAUUAUUUUAGAAUCCUUGUUAGUAUCAUUUUCAAUGACAGCCUAAUGUUCUACUGUGCCAAUAUAUUAUAUAUUCAUAUUAAUAAUUCUGUAUCCUUGAAAAGUUUGGUAACUUAAUUCAGCAGUCUUUGCUACCGUUUUUACUUGAACUUGGUGUUCUCCCUGAGCUGUGGAGCCUCACCCUGGACACCCCAGAGGAGCUUUAGACCGCUGCUGAGAUGUGGCCUGCUACCUGCAUGGCUUAGAGAAGGCCGGACUAGAAGACCCCAGGACCAGAUGGGCAUUCUCAGGAGGAAGGCAGCCGGUCGUGGGCAGUAUUAACAGGAAAAUCAAAUCCAACCCGGAUCAAGAUACAUCAGUAAGGGCAGAAUGGCAGACAGGCAAAUGAGGGCUCUGCUCAGAGAUGGUCCGGGGCAUGUUGCCCAGCUGAGAACAGUUGCUGUCCUUUGCUCGGGGCAGCCUGGUCCUUCUCAGUGUGUCUCUGAGCUGAUCUCUCUGGGUUUUAAAGAGCCCAGGCCUGCUCAGGCCAUCUCUGUCCCUGGUGGAUGACUAUCUCUCAUAAGCACUGGGCAGACCGGGAGCCCAGGGGUUGGGGGCUAGAGAAGGAGGGGAUGGGCUGGAAUGACACAUUUAGCAGAGCCAGGCCAGUAUGACCAAGUGGGAGGCACUACAGCAGAGGGAGGAGAGGAGCCCAGGGGUACUUUGGAGCCAACUCCUGCCCGGCACAGGAAUUCCCAACCUGGAUGACCUUGGGCAGCACACACUUAGCUUCCUAUGCUUCUACUUCCUCGCCUGUGCAGUGGGUUGAUGGCUGACCUCGGGGCCAUUCUUUCUUCUGCAAAGGGCUACACAGUAAAUUUUUAAGACUUUAGGGGCCACAGGGGUUUUUCAUAACUACUGAAUUCUGCUGUCGUAGAGGAAAACAACCACAGGCCAUCUGUAAAUGAAUGGCGGUGGCCGUGCUCCAAGGAAACCACACUUACAGAAACAGGUAGCUCGCCAUGCUUCCCCGACCCCCCAGCUACUUCACAGGACGGAUGUGCAAUUAGAGAUGGUGCAGGCGAGCGCCUCCCCCAGGGGUGGGCACAGCCAGACAGCCAGGGAGAGGGAGCUCCGUCCACUGACCCUCAGGCUGUCAGGACUGAGUUAACACCACAUUGGAGAAGGCUUCCACUUCCAGGGAAAGAAGAUAGCCAAGAAGGACCCCGACAGCCCUUCGGACAGACAGAGUGACACACUUCUGUAUUCAUGACUCUUUUAAUUAUUUUUGAAGACGGGCACUUCCCAGGACGUAUUCACAGACGCAGGGCUGAAACGGGAGAAGAGUCUUUGAGAACUUUCCAGCUCUUCCCCCCACCCCCCCCAUAUUGACCUCCUUUUCAUCUCCCAUUCGUUCCCUUCUUGAAUGUUCUAUUGUGGUGAGAACACUUCACGUGAGAUCCAUACUGUCGACGGAUUUUGAAGUGCACAGUGUAGAACGGUGACCUCUGGGCACGAGGUGGUCAGCAGGUCUCCAGAACUCGGUCAUCUGCUGUCACUGAAACCUCAUGCGAUGGGCUUGCUCUGUUGGCCAGAAGGCAGGGGACACGGCAGCACAUGCCCACCUGCAGCGAUGGCUCCGCGCUCCCUGAUUUCCCCUGGGCUCGGCCACCUGGGGAAGCUGGAACUUGUGAACUCAGCCGCAGACGCAGGAGAGCCCUGGGCUGGAAGCGUUUCCGCGUUUCCAAGCCAACGCUGAAGGCUCGGGCACUGGUGGAUGGGAAAGCCAUUGAUUUUUCUCGAGAUAAUAACUCCAGUGUAUUUGUUCAGUGUCUUUCAGAACCACAGCCUUGUCUGAUUUUAUUUCUGUUUUGUUUUGGUUUUAGUUUGUUGGCUCCGAGAGGAAAAAAAAGUGAACCAACUAAAAUCAAAAAUCUCAGGGUUUUUUGUUCGGUGGCUCCCGGGGUCAAACGGUUGAUGUCUUCCUGUCAAGAGCAGCACUGGUUCUGCAACGUGACUCUCAUGAGCACCUACUGUGUGUCGUCG